rnacentral:lncRNA from 1 species
CCCAUGGUAAUGGGAAUUUGACAAUCAUAGACUCGAGCAGGAAGACCAUUUUUGAUGAGCAGAAAGAUAAACAACAGUAAACACAGGACAGGUUGAACAGAGCGAGAUAAGCAGGCAGUGUGUGUGUGUGUUAUAGUGUUAGUUUUUCUCGUGUCUCUCGCUCUCACUCACGUGUGUAUAAGGGUGUGCAAUCUGACGAUAUUAGAUCAUUGAGGAUUAAAACAUGAUUGUGUAGAACCGUUUGUAGUUCACAUUUGAACCCUUGCAGUGCCGUGUCUACGUCAUAUGUCAGUGGUCCAUACACAGAACAUCCAAUGGUUUUUUUUUCUGCCA